rnacentral:lncRNA from 1 species
UCGCAUGAGGGAGAUGCUCUCACUUAGGCACCGAGGGCAAACGGGUUUCAGAAGAGUUUUUGGUACUCAUCAUCUCUUUGUCAAGCAGUACCUUACUGCUAGGCCAGCCAACUGGCACAGCGGCCGUUAAUCGUUGUGCAAAUUGACUUUGAGGAGGCGUUUGGCAAGGUGCCGCGGGAGCUAAUGUGGCUUCGUUUGCCGGAGAGAUGGGUUGAAAGGUCCAUGCUGCAAUCGCUGAUGCGGCUGUACGAUAAGGUUACAAUGGUCAUCAAGACGAAUGGCAAGUCUAGGUACGGGGAACGCACCCCACGACCUGUAAUUAUUAACAUUAGCAUGAAGGAUGCAGCGGUGCAGCUCCAGGUAUCGUUCAUGCGGCCAAUUGUGGGAGCUGCCAGGCCAGCGCACCGCCUCCUGUUCGCUAUAUCGUCACAGAUACCUCUACACUGCCAGUUUCGAGUAGAUUGUGAGGUUUUGGAACCGUGUCCGUUUACGGCGUGGGUCUGUGGCACACCAAGUUUUGCGACAGGAGAUCGCAGAGGCCCUCUCCAACCCCGAAGAGGCGGAUGGGGUUCACUAGUCCUCCGUUUUCUGAGUUUUCUGGGGCACGAUGUAUUGCAAAAGGCCCCGCAAGGGCUACGUGACACCUGAAUCCGAACGUCUGGCGAAGAUGCUGGGACGUAUGUGGUCUCACCGCAACUCUAUUGGUCGUUAGUCUCCUUUAUGACUUACUUUGCCUGAAGUGCGAGGUAGGAUGGUGCUUAUAGGUGAUCUGGCAGCCCUUGAGGGCUCAAGGGCUCGUAUUGGGCGUUUUGCAGGUACGGAGUACGCACCCCCAUACCAUGUGUAUGUGUACACACACAUAUGUGGUAAUUGGAGAACUCGACGUACGCGUCGCUUUUAAAUCCAUCGCACUCGCCUUAGGGGUAUGGGAUAGCCAUCCGGCAGUCCGUGGAGCUUACACCGAGAUCGCAUGGUCCACCGUCGGGAGGUUGCAAAAGGCAAGCGCCGUCCUGUGCCGUCAAGGGGCCUUGCGGUUGCCACACCUACAAUCGGCUAACCCUAGAACUGGAGCGGAUUUUUACUCGUGAUUCUGCAGUAAUCCAUAAAACUUACUAGCAGGUAACGUUGUGUGGAUGAGUUGUGGGCCACGCAAUGGAACCUCGCGGCGCGGAAAUAACAAUCGCCACAGGGAAAUAGGGCCAGAUUUCAAGCUUCAAAUCGAAAACUUGCUAUCUCUGCUUGAUGCGCAGGAAAGCUUGCGCUGCGGGAGCCUGUUGUGUUCUUCCAUCGGCGUUCACCAUCCUCCUUACUGAACCUUCUGCCUUGGCCAUCAGCCACAAAAAAUGCUAUACAUUUGUAUCAAAGUAAUGAUUCUGUAAUUUUUUAACUGGAUCAAUCACGCGUGCUUGUUCGUUAUUAAACAGGCCAGAUGUGCGGCAGCCGUCGCUAGGUCUAGCACGCCAAGCAACUCUUAAAAAGAUUAAUACGUAAACAGACGGAAAAUCUAUAUUCCUGUAUAAUUUUAAGCUUGCGCAAUGACGAAAACGGGUUUACAGCCAGACUGGAUUUGCUGCGCAGCUGCGCACACCACCAUUCGGACCUUCUCCUCCAAGCUUGUGCCACAAACUUUUGACCCACUAGCAAUCGUUCAUUUUCAUAACUAUAUUAAUUCACUGCGCAGGUAACGUGCGCGCGCCUGCACUGUUUAAAUCAUUUACUCUGAAUAACACGGACAGCCCUACCUCGAAAGCGCUGUGGCAGCGUUUGCUCUUCUGUAUCAUCACCACUAGUAUGUUUCCUCCACUCCAAACAUUGUGUUCGCAUCGGGAAGGGUUCCAUAGGCCCUCGGCAGGCCCGAGAACACCCCGAAACCAUUGCAGAACCGCCUAUCACAACUAAAUAAAUCUUGCUCAUAGCUCAUUUGUUAACCAUCUCCCUGUUUCUUCAUUCAGGGCCUCCAACAAGGGCCUCUGGAUGUCUAACACGAGGCUCGCGCUGAUAGCCAGAUCAGUCGCGGCAGAGUGGAUUACGGCCCAACGGUGUCCUCGCGCCGCAAACGCCCGGAACACCACGAGGUGAGAGUGAUUAAACUGAUUGUUCGGCACCGGAGAGAUGCCAGUGAGCUGAGAUGCUCCUCGACUCGUUCGGUCGGACCUCGAUCGCUCCAAGUAUUCUUGCUGCAAUACCUCCAACGCGGCCUAAACACGCGCGGCUAGCUAGGGCUACUGUUUAGUCCAUUUCUAUCUUUUGCCACCUGGUUGCUGCUGUGCGGAAUGACUCUCUCAACGCGCCGCAGCUAUCCUCGAGGCCUCACCACAUUCCUCGAGGCAGGUGAAACGGCCCUGCACAAAUGCCCUCACAAGGAAAUCCAGCCUUCGUCGCCCUCCUCCGUGCUUCACGCCAGGUCACUAACAACAUCAAACAGAGUGGCUAGCAAGACAAGUCGCCCGGCCCCGUAGACUCCUGUACAAGUUACGGCCAAGGCAAAUCCUUGACCCUCUUCCGGCCUCUCGCCUGCGCCUGCAGGCCACAUUUCAACCCACAUAGCUCCAAGAUGGAUGAGACCGCAGAUGAACUCUCGCCGCGACAACUACAGGGACCGCAAGGCAAUCAAGAUGGUAGUAUAGCGGCGGCCUACGGGACCGGCCCACUACCGGCACCACCACCGGGAGGGCAGCCCCCACGGCGACCACCUAGUCGCUCUUGCACUGCUCCCAGACCCUGCGCCCUGUGUGACACACCGCAGCCUGCAAGGGUGCGCCAAGGCUCCACUCGCCGCCGGAGGAACGGCCAGACCCAUCUCGCUGAUAACCUCCCCUUUCCGAUCGGUCAUCCUGGCGAUUUCCUGGCCGAGGAUCCCGCACCACCACCGCCUCCUUCCCCGCCUUUACCUCCGUCGACUCCCCCGCUGCCGUUGGCCCUGUCCCCACCACCGCUGCCGCCGUCACCACCGCUAACACCACCGCCAUCUUCGCCGCCGCCCUCGGGCUCGUCGUUGCCAAAAGGAGCGCAGCAGCAGUCGCACAGUAAUGCGGCGGGUCCAGCAGCCCCAGCAGCUGCAGUACUUGCCCGUGUUAUGUGGUGGCAUACUUUGUGGUGGUCGUGGUACUUGCGAAGGCGUCCCGCCGGCCUCUUCCCCGGCGCUGCGGCUGCCGGCGCUGCAGUCCUCCCUUUUCGGUUCGAAUCGGCCUCCUGCUCCUCUCGUGCUGUCCUGGUCUUGGUCCUGCUGUGCCUGUCUCAAGCUGGCUGUGUCUCGGCCGGCCCCAUUAUGCCGGGUAAGGCACAUCUACGGCUCCGCGCCUCGCCAUGCUUCAAACUAGGUCUGUGGCCUAGCUUGCCUUCAGUUGCCCUUAGUUUGGGUUUAGCCAAUGGACCAUGCAUCUUAAUGCGCACGGCUCAUUGUGCACUGCACACUGCAGUUGCAGCGCCUGGCUGCCGGAAGCCUCGCCUAGCACCGGCGGGCCCCAGGUGCUCAGGUCAGAUAGACUACUGGAUAUCCAUGCUACUUAAGUAUAACGAGCACAAACAGCGAGCGUGACUGGGCUGGGUCUGUGCGCUCGUCUGCUUACGGUUGUACUCUGGUGUUAAGCAAGAGGAAACGUUGACGUCCAAUGCAGAGCAAGUAAUAUCGAGCGUAAUUGAAGGAAAUAUAGCUAUGCU